rnacentral:lncRNA from 1 species
AUUAUUUUAUGCUAUGUGUUGGGCUCCCUUUUAGGUGCCAGGUAUAAUGAGAUUAAUAAUACAAAAUAACAUUGUUAUGAAACGUAUAUAACAUUGUCGUUGACUAAGCAAGUAAAAUAUUAUAGAUUGUAACAUACUUUCAAGUGAUAUAAAGAAAAAUAAAGCUAGCUAAGGGAUAAAAAUGAGGUGAAAACCUUUUAAAUAGAUUUGACUGGAAUGGCUUCUUUGCUGUGCUCAUAAAUGAGCUCAGACCUAAAUUAUGUGUCCUGAAUUAUUGAACGGGGAGAGACGAUUUCUGGCAGAGGAUAUACCAAGUGAAACAUCCAUGUUCAAAUAUAUUUGAGGAGAAGCAAAAAGUCUAUUCCUGAUGGAGUAAUAUGUGUUUGGAGGCGCUGAAAAAACAUUGUGCUGAUCAUAUGAGACCAGGCUCAUAGGCAGAUGGGACUUGCCUUGUCUCAGAUGAGACCUUGGACUGUGGACUUCUGAGUUAAUGCUGAAAUGAAUUAAGACUUUGGGGGACUAUUGCUACGCCACUAGAACAAAAAUACCUGAAGCCAACUGAAACUAAGCUGAGAUUUGCUGCCUGAAAACAAGCCCAGCCAAUCCCAGUGAAAGCCAGCCGAUCCAAUGAUAAAAACAGAGCCUCAGCCAAUAUCUACACCAAUGAAUGGAGAAAUAAAUGUUCAUUGUUUAAACAACUGAGUCAGGAUGUUGUAUUUCAGAGUAUUAUUUUGACAAGAGCUGAUAAAUACAGAAAUUGAUACCAGAUAUAGGGUGCUGAUAGUAAUGUGUAAUGAGGAAACCCUUUUAAGAGGCUGAGAAAACAAUGGCAUCUAUUAUGUAGAAAUAUGACUUUUGGUAAAGAUUGUCAUUUCACUAAGUGGAAAAAUUCUACAAAUGUAUCUAGUAAAUUAAUUUUCUUUUAUCAAAGAAGUUUAUAGGUAGACCUUUAAUAGUGUGAACUAUAUUUGAUAAGAUAUAACAAUAACAAACCUGAUAGGCUUAGAAAAGGACAAGCCAAUUUGUCAACAGAAAUGUGAAAGAGCAGAGAAAGAUAAGAAACUGAAUAGUAAUUAAAAUUAUUUCUAACCAAAGUUGUGACCAUUAAAAAGUAGCCGCUAGAAAAAGACUAAAUUCAACAUGAGAUCACAAGACAUGCCAUCAAGACAAACAUAAAAUCAGAGACAUGUAAAAGGAUUAAGGUGUCUUUAAUAGGCUAAUUGUCCUACACAUUAUAGUUUUGUUUGUUUGUUUGUUUGUUUUAGAUGGAGUUUCACUCUUGCUGCCCAGGCUGGAGAACAGUGGCACGAUCUUGUCUCACCACAACCUCUACCUCCUGGGUUCAAGAGAUUCUCCUGUCAGCCUCCCAAGUAGCUGGAAUUACAGGCAUGCGCCACCACACCUGGCUAAUUUCUUUGUAUUUUUAGUAGCCACAGGGUAUCUCCAUGUUGAUCAGGCUGGUCUCGAACUCCCAACCUCAGGUGAUCCACCCACCUCAGCCUCCCAGAGUGCUGGGAUUACAGGCGUGAGCCACCGCACCAGUCUCACAUUAUGUUUUUAUCCAAAUUACCUGUAGUCAAGUCUAGACUGAGGCAAAGAAGAAGGUAGACAGACAGGUAGGCAGGUAGGUAGGUAGGUAGGUAGGUAUAGUCACAAAUCAAAGUGUGGGUAUGUUUUUUGGAAAAUGGAAUUAUGUAAGAUCAUACAUAGAAAACUCACCACAUAUUUCAGACAGCUGUGCUAAUGAAAGCACCCACACCCUGGAUUAAAAGAAACUAUUUGAGAUGAAAAAGCAUAAUGCAUGUGCCACCAGUAUCAUACUUGUAAUUGGACUAAAAGAGUCUCAAGUUGCCAAGGAGGGAAUAGUCUCCAGUUAUUUCCUCUAAGGAGUAAGAACAGGAGAGACAUCCUGGAAAGCGGAGGCAAAUACUGUCAAUAAUAUUGAAUUUGGGACCUGUUUUGAAACAAGAAGAAAGAAUCCUAAACCAGUAAACUAUCUAAACAAAGGGUAACGUGAAAACAUUUAUCCAGUUGCCAUAUACCACUGAAUUCUAUAUGACUCAAAUGAUUUCCGUUUUCAAAUAUCACAAUUCCACCAGUUGUUCUGAACCUCCUUUAUUUUCUUUUUUCAUAAUUGCAUGUUUCAUGUAUGUUUUUGUUUACUGGUCUCUGGAGCAAGAAAAGCUACAUUCACACUUAGUAUGUUCUCAGUAUUCUAGAAUUUUAGCCUAAGGCUAUAAAUAAAUGAGACUUUUAAUGAUGCAUAAGGAAGGUGUGUAUGUAUAUUUUACACGCAAGAGGAAAGAAAGAGGAUGUUUGUGAACAAGAGUUUGGACUGCAAUAACACAAAUUACUCUCCAAUAAAUAGUCCCUCCUCUUCAAGAAGCAGCUGUAUUUCUGAAAGUAUGAUUUUCCACUUAACGUAAUUAUAUGUGUGUGUGUGUGUGUGUGUGUGUGUGUGUGUGUGUGUGUGUGUGUGUUUGUAAUGAGAUAUGUGUAGAAGUGGCAUGAGCAGAAGUUUUAAGUGAAGUUUGUAGUUUGGUUAACUUUCUUUUGCUGCUCUGGUCUGCCAUAAGAGCAUGCUCUGUGUAGCUUUGGCCCCUUAAGCCUAAACAGUCUUGAAAAAGACCUGAAUCCAUAUCAACUGGAGCCAAGCUCAGGCAUGCCUAGCCAAGCCCAGCUAAAUCACAGCCUGGAGCAAAGCUGCUCCAAGGGAACUGCAGACAGAAAGCAAGAAAAAUAAAUGCUUUCAGUAUAAACCAGUGGGUUUUGGGGUGGUUCGUUACAUAGUAUAAUUGUGCCAAUAGCUGAUUUAAAAUGACAAAGAAUUUUUUAUUCUCUGUGAGGUAUAAUCUAUUUAAUGGUAAAACUAAGGUAAUACCUGAGAAUUCCAGGAUUAAACUCUUUAUUAAGUGUUUAUUUUGUUAUAUUCUACUAUCUUUAGUUAGAAAUAAACAGACUGAUUUUUG